CACUCCAGUCUUGCUUGGAGAGGUGGUGGUUGUAACUGUUGCAAGUGAUGCUAAUGGCGGCCUUCUCAGCCACGAUAUCCGGCUCCUCACGCUUCCUCUCAUCUACCUCAUUGCCUAUGCGGAAGAUCCCUGCUUCUUCUCCUUCUCCUCAAUGCCGCUCCUUUUUCUCUUCCUAAGCCUUUUCCUCUUUACAGAUUAAAUAUUGGUUCUCGGUUGGAAAGAGGGAAGUCAUUAACUAUCUAUGCCCAGACUUCAGUAUCAGAUAUUUCUGUAGAGAAAUCGAUGGAUGAAGUAAAUCUUCCCAAGGGAGACAUGUGGGCUGUCCAUAAGUUUGGGGGCACUUGUGUUGGGACCUCCCAGAGGAUCAAGAAUGUCGCAGAUAUAAUUAUUAGCAAUGAUUCAGAAAGAAAGUUGGUAGUGGUAUCGGCCAUGUCUAAAGUGACAGAUAUGAUGUAUGACCUUAUCAACAAGGCACAAUCA